rnacentral:rRNA from 1 species
UACGUAGGGGGCAAGCGUUGUCCGGAAUCAUUGGGCGUAAAGAGCGUGUAGGCGGCCCGAUAAGUCCGCUGUGAAAGUCAAGGGCUCAACCCUUGAAUGCCGGCGGAUACUGUCGGGCUAGGACGUCGAAGAGGCGAGUGGAAUUCCUGGUGUAGCGGUGAAAUGCGCAGAUAUCAGGAGGAACACCUACGGCGAAGGCAGCUCGCUGGGACGGUACUGACGCUGAGACGCGAAAGCGUGGGGAGCAAACAGG